rnacentral:rRNA from 1 species
CCUACGGGUGGCAGCAGUAGGGAAUCUUUCACAAUGGGCGAAAGCCUGAUGGAGCAACGCCGCGUGCAGGAUGAAGGCCUUCGGGUUGUAAACUGCUUUUAUAAGCGAGAAAUAUGAUGGUAACUUAUGAAUAAGGAUCGGCUAACUACGUGCCAGCAGCCGCGGUCAUACGUAGGAUCCGAGCAUUAUCCGGAGUGACUGGGUGUAAAGAGUUGCGUAGGUGACAUAAUAAGUAGCUAGUGAAAUCUGGUGGCUCAACCAUUCAGACUAUUAGCUAAACUGUUAAGCUCGAGACCGUUAGGGGUAACUGGAAUUGCUAGUGUAGGAGUGAAAUCCGUAGAUAUUAGAAGGAACACCAAUAGCGUAGGCAGGUUGCUGGGACGGUUCUGACACUAAGGCACGAAAGCGUAGGGAGCAAACGGGAUUAGAUACCCCAGUAGUC